CAGAUUCACAGGCAGACAGACAGACAGGCAGACAAGCCAGCAACAUGUCACCAGGAGUUCCUGAAGUCGAUCCUGAUGCAGACUUUGUUUAUGAUUAUCACACCCUGCGUGUCGGAGGCCUGACCUUUGCUGGGAUCAUUGUGGUCCUGUCUAUCCUUCUGCUGGUUGGCAACACCCUCUGCAGGUGUGGAAGGUCGCAGCCCAAAGCUUCUGAAGGAGUUGGCAGCAUCUGAUCACCUGAUUGCCAAUGUGUCAGAAGGGGGUUAAGCUUAAAGGGAGCAUCACUGAGGGGGGCUGGGCAGUAGUGAGCUGAGCUACACUUGGGCUUUGGUAUUUGUGUAGGUCAGAGAUGAGAGGGCUAAGUGCAGCUGGCUCACUGAGCAUGGUGUGAGAGAGUCACUGAUAAUCCAUUUUAUUCUUCUUGUUGUCAAUAAAUGACACCUAA